CUGGUACGGACAAGGGGAAU
rnacentral:snRNA from 1 species